CUCCUGCUCCUUCUGCCAUGAUUGUAACUUUUCUGAAGCCUCCCCAGUCAUGCUUCUUGUACAGUCUGCAGAACGGUGAGUCAAUUAAACUUCUUUUCUUUGUAAAUUACACAGUCCCACGUAGUUCUUUAUAGCAAUGUGAGAACAGACUAAUACAGAAGUGAAGACACUUUGACAUGCAACAGGAAUUGCAGUCAUGUCAUCAAGUCCUGAACUCAGAUUGUGCAGCCUGUUGCUGAAAGAUCAGUGCCAGGGCUUCCACUAAGGAAGGAUGAUUCAGGUAGCCUGAACACUAUGGAGAGUCGGGGUCCAGUUCUUAACCCUAUUUUCUAGUGCUUUAAUUUUUAUGUUCUCUGUGGAUGAGCUGAUGACAACCAUAGGUCAGUGUGGCUCAGGGCACAGCUCACAGUUCUAGAUUUUUCUUCUCAUAGGUUCUGCCUAUCUGCAUGCAAAAAAAUUCACAGUUCUGGAUUUUUCUUCUCAUAGGUUUCGCCAAUUUUCUUAUGCAAUUUGACCCACAUGAUUUUGGAUUGAUUUACCACUGAAUCAUUUUGUGGUAUUUAUGGUUAAUUUUUGCUGAAAAGUCACUUAAUUGAUAUCCAUUCAACUUUUUAAUUUUUGAGAAUGUGUUCUGUCCAAUUUUGGUUGCAUGUUUUACUUGAAAAUCACAUUUGGUGUUUAACAUUGUGGCUUUCUGUUCCCCAUUAAUUUGGAUGUCUGGACCAAUUUCCAUGCUCUUAUUACUAGUUCUUUAUUGUUGUCCACAAAUGGCAUUCAAAAUACCCACUUUAAUAAGAGAAAAAUGCAUUUUAGCCUCUUUUUAAAGAAAUAAUCACAUCUUUUUGGCAUAUGAUCUGAAAAAUCUCUCAGUAGUAUACCUUGAACAUUCUUGUUACAUGAUAAAUCAUUGCUCUCUCUUCUUCCCACCUUCUUAUUCAGCAGAAGAA
rnacentral:lncRNA from 1 species